AGGCUGCAACUCGCCUGCAUNAAGUCGGAAUUGCUAGUAAUCGUAGGUCAGCAUACUACGGUGAAUACGUUCCCGGGCCUUGUACACACCGCCCGUCAAACCAUGAGAGUUGGCAACACCCGAAGUCGGUAGUCUAACCGCAAGGAGGACGCCGCCGAAGGUGGGGUUGAUGAUUAGGGUUAAGUCGUAACAAGGUACC
rnacentral:rRNA from 1 species